UAGUAAAAAGGGAAGUAAGGGACGAUAGGGUUGGGUGGUGGUGGCGUUGGGUAGUUUUUGUACGUAGGUGGAGGGUAGUACAUGCCACCAAUGACACCAACGGGUGGUGGUGGAGCGUAGUAGUUAUUUCCGCCGCUGGAUUGAGAAGGUGGUGGUGGAGAGUAGUAGUAGUUUCCACCACCGCUGGAGGUGGGUGGAGAAGGAGGGGGUGGGCAGUAGUUGGGUUUAGGAACUGUAGGUGGUGGUGAAGAUGGUUUAGGCGGCGGUGGAGAUGGUGGUGGCGGCGAUGGAGUUUGCUGACAUGGAUUUUCACAUGAUGAACACAUGGUGCACUCGAUCUGGUACUUCGAUGUCGUGUUUGAAGUGGUGAUGGUAUUGUC
rnacentral:lncRNA from 1 species